rnacentral:rRNA from 1 species
UACGAAGGGGGCUAGCGUUGCUCGGAAUUACUGGGCGUAAAGCGCACGUAGGCGGCUCUUUAAGUCGGGGGUGAAAUCCUGGAGCUCAACUCCAGAACUGCCUUCGAUACUGUAGCGUUGAGUUCGGGAGAGGUGAGUGGAACUGCGAGUGUAGAGGUGAAAUUCGUAGAUAUUCGCAAGAACACCAGUGGCGAAGGCGGCUCACUGGCCCGGAUACUGACGCUGAGGUGCGAAAGCGUGGGGAGCAAACAGG